rnacentral:rRNA from 1 species
GGUUAAGCGACUAAGCGUACACGGUGGAUGCCCUGGCAGUCAGAGGCGAUGAAGGACGUGCUAAUCUGCGAAAAGCGCCGGCGAGGUGAUAUGAACCCUUGACCCGGCGAUGUCCGAAUGGGGAAACCCAGUGUGAUUCGUCACACUAUCGUUAACUGAAUACAUAGGUUAACGAGGCGAACCGGGGGAACUGAAACAUCUAAGUACCCCGAGGAAAAGAAAUCAACCGAGAUUCCCCCAGUAGCGGCGAGCGAACGGGGAGCAGCCCAGAGUCUGAAUCAGCUUGUGUGUUAGUGGAAGCGUCUGGAAAGUCGCACGGUACAGGGUGAUAGUCCCGUACACGAAAAUGCACAGGCUGUGAACUCGAAGAGUAGGGCGGGACACGUGGUAUCCUGUCUGAAUAUGGGGGGACCAUCCUCCAAGGCUAAAUACUCCUGACUGACCGAUAGUGAACCAGUACCGUGAGGGAAAGGCGAAAAGAACCCCGGCGAGGGGAGUGAAAAAGAACCUGAAACCGUGUACGUACAAGCAGUGGGAGCACCUUCGGGUGUGACUGCGUACCUUUUGUAUAAUGGGUCAGCGACUUAUAUUCUGUAGCAAGGUUAACCGUAUAGGGGAGCCGAAGGGAAACCGAGUCUUAACUGGGCGUUAAGUUGCAGGGUAUAGACCCGAAACCCGGUGAUCUAGCCAUGGGCAGGUUGAAGGUUGGGUAACACUAACUGGAGGACCGAACCGACUAAUGUUGAAAAAUUAGCGGAUGACCUGUGGCUGGGGGUGAAAGGCCAAUCAAACCGGGAGAUAGCUGGUUCUCCCCGAAAGCUAUUUAGGUAGCGCCUCGUGAACUCAUCUUCGGGGGUAGAGCACUGUUUCGGCUAGGGGGCCAUCCCGGCUUACCAACCCGAUGCAAACUACGAAUACCGAAGAAUGUUAUCACGGGAGACACACGGCGGGUGCUAACGUCCGUCGUGAAGAGGGAAACAACCCAGACCGCCAGCUAAGGUCCCAAAGUCAUGGUUAAGUGGGAAACGAUGUGGGAAGGCCCAGACAGCCAGGAUGUUGGCUUAGAAGCAGCCAUCAUUUAAAGAAAGCGUAAUAGCUCACUGGUCGAGUCGGCCUGCGCGGAAGAUGUAACGGGGCUAAACCAUGCACCGAAGCUGCGGCAGCGACGCUUAUGCGUUGUUGGGUAGGGGAGCGUUCUGUAAGCCGUUGAAGGUGGCCUGUGAGGGUUGCUGGAGGUAUCAGAAGUGCGAAUGCUGACAUAAGUAACGAUAAAGCGGGUGAAAAGCCCGCUCGCCGGAAGACCAAGGGUUCCUGUCCAACGUUAAUCGGGGCAGGGUGAGUCGACCCCUAAGGCGAGGCCGAAAGGCGUAGUCGAUGGGAAACAGGUUAAUAUUCCUGUACUUGGUGUUACUGCGAAGGGGGGACGGAGAAGGCUAUGUUAGCCGGGCGACGGUUGUCCCGGUUUAAGCAUGUAGGCGGAGGUUCCAGGUAAAUCCGGUACCUUUUAACGCUGAGGUGUGAUGACGAGGCACUACGGUGCUGAAGUAACAAAUGCCCUGCUUCCAGGAAAAGCCUCUAAGCAUCAGGUAACAUCAAAUCGUACCCCAAACCGACACAGGUGGUCAGGUAGAGAAUACCAAGGCGCUUGAGAGAACUCGGGUGAAGGAACUAGGCAAAAUGGUGCCGUAACUUCGGGAGAAGGCACGCUGAUAUGUAGGUGAAGCCCCUGCGGGUGGAGCUGAAAUCAGUCGAAGAUACCAGCUGGCUGCAACUGUUUAUUAAAAACACAGCACUGUGCAAACACGAAAGUGGACGUAUACGGUGUGACGCCUGCCCGGUGCCGGAAGGUUAAUUGAUGGGGUUAGCGGCAACGCGAAGCUCUUGAUCGAAGCCCCGGUAAACGGCGGCCGUAACUAUAACGGUCCUAAGGUAGCGAAAUUCCUUGUCGGGUAAGUUCCGACCUGCACGAAUGGCGUAAUGAUGGCCAGGCUGUCUCCACCCGAGACUCAGUGAAAUUGAACUCGCUGUGAAGAUGCAGUGUACCCGCGGCAAGACGGAAAGACCCCGUGAACCUUUACUAUAGCUUGACACUGAACACUGGUCCUUGAUGUGUAGGAUAGGUGGGAGGCUUUGAAGCGUGGACGCCAGUCUGCGUGGAGCCAUCCUUGAAAUACCACCCUUUAAUGGCUGGUGUUCUAACGUAGACCCGUAAUCCGGGUUGCGGACAGUGUCUGGUGGGUAGUUUGACUGGGGCGGUCUCCUCCCAAAGAGUAACGGAGGAGCACGAAGGUUAGCUAAUCCUGGUCGGACAUCAGGAGGUUAGUGCAAUGGCAUAAGCUAGCUUGACUGCGAGAGUGACGGCUCGAGCAGGUGCGAAAGCAGGUCAUAGUGAUCCGGUGGUUCUGAAUGGAAGGGCCAUCGCUCAACGGAUAAAAGGUACUCCGGGGAUAACAGGCUGAUACCGCCCAAGAGUUCAUAUCGACGGCGGUGUUUGGCACCUCGAUGUCGGCUCAUCACAUCCUGGGGCUGAAGUAGGUCCCAAGGGUAUGGCUGUUCGCCAUUUAAAGUGGUACGCGAGCUGGGUUUAGAACGUCGUGAGACAGUUCGGUCCCUAUCUGCCGUGGGCGCUGGAGAAUUGAGGGGGGCUGCUCCUAGUACGAGAGGACCGGAGUGGACGCAUCACUGGUGUUCGGGUUGUCAUGCCAAUGGCACUGCCCGGUAGCUAAAUGCGGAAGAGAUAAGUGCUGAAAGCAUCUAAGCACGAAACUUGCCCCGAGAUGAGUUCUCCCUGAGACUUAAAGUCUCCUGAAGGAACGUUAAAGACGAUGACGUUGAUAGGUCGGGUGUGUAAGCGCAGCGAUGCGUUGAGCUAACCGAUACUAAUGAACCGUGAGGCUUAACCUU